GCGACAACUUGCAGGAUGAUCUGGUUCCCUGCUAUUCUGGCCGUGGGAUGGCUCUUCUCAGGCUCAGAGUCUCAGCUGAUAUUAACUCAACCAUCCUCCAUGUCUGCAUCUCCAGCAUCAACAGUUAGAAUCUCUUGCACAGUGAGCAGUGGCUACACCAUUGGUAGCCAAAGAGCCAGGUGGUACCAGCAGAAACCAGGUGGCAUCCCACGGUUUCUGUACCACUAUUCUACCAGCACCGAUCAAGGCAGGGGAACUGGGGUCCCAGAGAGGUUCAGCGUUUCCCCCGAUGCCUCCCAGAACCUCUGGAAUCUGGUGAUCAGUGGAGUUCAAGUGGAAGACGAUGCACAUUAUUAUUGCAACACAUGGGACAGCAAACUUGAGCAGCGCACGGUGAUGCAUUUUUAG